UCUCCUUGCCUGGACUGGGGCCAGGCGCCCAGGACGUGUCUUUUUUUUACCCACCCCGUCUCCAGGUUUUCUUGGCUGUGCGCGCCCCGAGCCGGAGGCCCCGAAACUUUGAGUUUCCGCAGCCCUCCUUUUGUGUGACUGCCGGGAGGAGAAAGGAGGAUAUGCAACGGAAGGAGACGAGCAGACGAGCUCCUUGCAAGUUAUUCUCCAGGCUCUUAGAUUCAAGGUUCUUUGUCUUACCCACGAAGAACAACCCACAGAGAGGUCAACUUGAAGUGACCGUCUGUCUACAUUAAGCUGUGAACCACAAACCUGCCAUUGCCAAGGGACAGUUCAUGGCAUCCUCCACGGAGUAUCUCCACAUCCACAGCACAUAACUUGCCUGACACUUUAGGACAAUCCCAAUAUCACAGAGGAAAUACCAAAUGGCCUUCAGGAUGCAUUGUCCUUGACAUGCCCGCGUCACUCGGCGUGGCUCCCACUGAGGAGUUCUCUGAUGGCCCACUGUUUGCACAGGACCCCUGGUGGAGGGCCAUUUGUACUCCGAUCGGCAGAACAUGGGGAUUUCGUGUCAGAGCAACUUGCACAUUCUAUGCUACAAUCAUUUCCGCUUUGGCAUUUUCACCGACAUGGUGGGCUGACGUGAUUUUCACAGCUUAAGGAUCACCGAGGCAAUGACCGGGCAGACACCAGGAAGCCUACCCACCUCUGCCCCUUGCUACAGGUGCCCUGGAGGGUGCUUAGCAUGCCCGCUCCCCAGAGACACAGGCAUGCAAGCACACAAAGGCCACAGAAGCGUGGAAAAGCGAUAAGAAUGCCAACAAAAUGUGUCAGCAAGUGCACGGCCCUAACCAGAGAGAAGGAUCCAGUCAGCAGGCUUAAGCCUCUCCGAGCAUUCGGACGGUUGAACGACGCCCCGUUUCCCUAAGGACGAGUCCUACGAUUUUCCCAACUCGUUCUUCUCUCCUCUGAAGAUACAUUGUAGUCACAAAAAGAGAGGAAAACAAUUGAAUACUGUCCUAAAUCCAACAAGGUUGUACAAGGUUAUAACAUAAAUUUAUGAACCAUUAAUUUCAAUUUUGUCUUUAAAUGUGCUGUAAAACUAGCUAUCAUUUAAGUUUCCCCUACGCCAAACAUAAAAAUAUGUAUUUGAUCUGCUGGCCUCCUGUUUUUUGGAAACUCCAUCCAGCACUGCUUCUCUUAUGCUGUUCUUCUGCAGUUAUAUUAAGUUUGGACGGGUUCCUCCUGGUUUUGUUUCCAUUUUGUUGAACAUCCU